rnacentral:rRNA from 1 species
CUCAACCUGGGAAUGGCAUCCGGAACUGUUUGGCUAGAGUGCAGGAGAGGAAGGUAGAAUUCCCGGUGUAGCGGUGAAAUGCGUAGAGAUCGGGAGGAACACCAGUGGCGAAGGCGGCCUUCUGGACUGACACUGACGCUGAGGUGCGAAAGCGUGGGUAGCAAACAGGAUUAGAUACCCUGGUAGUCCACGCUGUAAACGAUGUCGACUAGCCGUUGGGUCCCUUGAGGACUUUGUGGCGCAGUUAACGCGAUAAGUCGACCGCCUGGGGAGUACGGCCGCAAGGUUAAAACUCAAAUGAAUUGACGGGGGCCCGCACAAGCGGUGGAGCAUGUGGUUUAAUUCGAUGCAACGCGAAGAACCUUACCUACCCUUGACAUCCUCGGAAUCCGCCAGAGAUGGUGGAGUGCCUUCGGGAACCG